rnacentral:misc_RNA from 1 species
GUUCUUACUUGUUCUACAUCAGUCAUAUAGUGAGACUCCUUGUUUGUUAUGGGAUGUAUGCCUUUUAUGGCCAAAGAAGGCCUUAAGGAGAAAGAAAUAGGUCAUAUAACAAUAUGUAGAACUAAAACAGAAUUCAGGGAAAACUAAAAUUAAAAACAUUAUAUCGUUGCUGAAUAGCGAUGUAUAUUAGAAUUUCCUUGUAGGUCCCAUUAAACUAAAUAAUCGCCUUCCAUU